CCUACGGGCGGCAGCAGUAGGGAAUAUUGCUCAAUGGGGGAAACCCUGAAGCAGCAACGCCGCGUGGAGGAUGAAGGUUUUCGGAUUGUAAACUCCUUUUGUUAGAGAAGAUAAUGACGGUAUCUAACGAAUAAGCACUGGCUAAAUCUGUGCCAGCAGCCGCGGUAAUACGGAGGGUGCAAGCGUUACUCGGAAUCACUGGGCGUAAAGAGCGCGUAGGCGGGAUAGCAAGUCAGAUGUGAAAUCCUAUGGCUUAACCAUAGAACUGCAUUUGAAACUGUUAUUCUAGAGUAUGGGAGAGGUAGGUGGAAUUCUUGGGGUAGGGGUGAAAUGCGUAGAGAUCAAGAGGAAUACUCAUUGCGAAGGCGACCUGCUAGAACAUAACUGACGCUGAGGCGCGAAAGCGUGGGGAGCAAACAGGAUUAGAUACCCCUGUAGUC
rnacentral:rRNA from 1 species